GAUGAACGCUGGCGGCGUGCCUAAUACAUGCAAGUCGAGCGAACGGACGAGAAGCUUGCUUCUCUGAUGUUAGCGGCGGACGGGUGAGUAACACGUGGAUAACCUACCUAUAAGACUGGGAUAACUUCGGGAAACCGGAGCUACUACCGGCUAAUAUUUUGAACCGCAUGGUUCAAAAGUGAAAGACGGUCUUGCUGUCACUUAUAGAUGGAUCCGCGCUGCAUUAGCUAGUUGGUAAGGCAACGGCUUACCAAGGCAACGAUGCAUAGCCGACCUGAGAGGGUGAUCGGCCACACUGGAACUGAGACACGGUCCAGACUCCUACGGGAGGCAGCAGUAGGGAAUCUUCCGCAAUGGGCGAAAGCCUGACGGAGCAACGCCGCGUGAGUGAUGAAGGUCUUCGGAUCGUAAAACUCUGUUAUUAGGGAAGAACAUAUGUGUAAGUAACUGUGCACAUCUUGACGGUACCUAAUCAGAAAGCCACGGCUAACUACGUG
rnacentral:rRNA from 1 species